GAUGAACGCUGGCGGCGUGCCUAAUACAUGCAAGUCGAGCGAACGGACGAGAAGCUUGCUUCUCUGAUGUUAGCGGCGGACGGGUGAGUAACACGUGGAUAACCUACCUAUAAGACUGGGAUAACUUCGGGAAACCGGAGCUAAUACCGGAUAAUAUUUUGAACCGCAUGGUUCAAAAGUGAACGACGGUCUUGCUGUCACUUAUAGAUGGAUCCUCGCUGCAUUAGCUAGUUGGUAAGGUAACGGCUUACCAAGGCAACGAUGCAUAGCCGACCUGAGAGGGUGAUCGGCCACACUGGAACUGAGACACGGUCCAGACUCCUACGGGAGGCAGCAGUAGGGAAUCUUCCGCAAUGGGCGAAAGCCUGACGGAGCAACGCCGCGUGAGUGAUGAAGGUCUUCGGAUCGUAAAACUCUGUUAUUAGGGAAGAACAUAUGUGUAAGUAACUGUGCACAUCUUGACGGUACCUAAUCAGAAAGCCACGGCUAACUACGUG
rnacentral:rRNA from 1 species